rnacentral:lncRNA from 1 species
CCUUCCAAAUGCUUCAACAUAGGCCACUCUUUCUAGAUAGAACUCCGUCUCCUCCAUCUCAGGGGAGAUAUUGACGAAGGCUUUAUGUAUGCUUGACCUGUGGAUAGAGGGCGGUUGUGGAGGAGCACAAGGCGCUUUGCGCUUACGAAGCGAGAAGGAGCACCUGGCUUGCAUUUUUCAUACUGCCUUUACCCUCCUUGUUGUUGUGUCUGGAGUAAUUUUGGCUUUGCAAGAUCUUGCCUUAUGUCCGAACUUGUGGCAGCCAAAGUAUUUUAUAGGAUUUCUACAUCACUCUUUUGUGUGGUUAGAA